UACGUAGGUGGCAAGCGUUGUUCGGAAUUAUUGGGCGUAAAGGGCGCGUAGGCGGUUUGUUAAGUCGGUUGUGAAAGCCCGGGGCUCAACCCCGGAGAGUCGACCGAUACUGGCAGACUAGAGUACAGAAGAGGUAGCUGGAAUUCCUGGUGUAGCGGUGAAAUGCGUAGAUAUCAGGAGGAACACCAGUGGCGAAGGCGGCUCACUGGUCCGGUACUGACGCUGAGGUGCGAAAGCGUGGGGAGCAAACAGG
rnacentral:rRNA from 1 species